CCUGGCGGCAAUAGCGACGUGGUCCCACCUGAAUCCAUUCCGAACUCAGAAGUGAAACACGUUAGCGUCGAUGGUAGUGUGGGGCUUCCCCAUGUGAGAGUAGAACACCGCCAGGC
rfam:Aestuariibacter aggregatus strain CGMCC 1.8995 genome assembly, contig: Ga0079874_105